GUGCCAGCAGCCGCGGUAAGACGAACCGUGCAAACGUUGUUCGGAAUCACUGGGCUUAAAGGGCGCGUAGGCGGAUUUCCAAGUCUGUGGUGAAAGCCUCCAGCUUAACUGGAGAAGUGCCGUGGAUACUGGGAAUCUCGAGGAUGGUAGGGGCAUCUGGAACAGCCGGUGGAGCGGUGAAAUGCGUUGAUAUCGGCUGGAACUCCGAUGGCGAAGGCAAGGUGCUGGACCAUUUCUGACGCUGAGGCGCGAAAGCCAGGGGAGCAAACGGGAUUAGAAACCCGAGUAGUCC
rnacentral:rRNA from 1 species